CAUUUCCCAUGAGCGGACGGAGGCGUGAGUGAUGACGUCAGGGGCUUUAUAAAGGCCACCAUCUUUGAUCGUCACAUCCUCUUUCCGUUGCUCUUCUCGCCUUUGAGAAACCUCUCCACACGAUGAGAGCGAAGUGGAGGAAGAAGCGUAUGCGCAGGCUGAAGCGUAAAAGGCGAAAGAUGAGGCAGAGGUCCAAGUAAGCCCUCAUCACCACCAGCUGCAAGAGCUACCAUCACUACCAGCUGUCGGAACUUCUCCAGGUGACUGACGCAGGUGGCUGAAGUGGACUGUGUGAACGCCAUCAGCGAAGGAAACAACCUCUGCUUUCAGAUGACUGCGCAUCACACUGAGCCAGCUGUGGUUGUUUGACUGGACGAUGGCAAAGACGCUGGCUGCAUCUUACAACAUCAGAAAGACAGCUGCUGUGUUCAUGGACCAUUUUACAUAUUGUUAACGAACAACUGUUUUGUGGUGCAUUAAACAAUAAACGAACACUGUUUAAAAGUU